AAGCUCGUAGUUGAAUUUCGGGGUUAGUAGGUUGGUCAUGCCUCUGGUAUGUACUGGUCUCACUGAUUCCUCCUUCCUUAUGAACCGUAAUGCCAUUAAUUUGGUGUUGCGGGGGAAUUUGGACUGUUACUUUGAAAAAAUUGAGUGUUUAAAGCAAGCUAACGCUUGAAUACAUUAGCAUGGAAUAAUGAAAUAGGACGUUCGAUCUUAUUUUGUUGGUUUCUAGGAUUGACGUAAUGAUUAAUAGGAUAGUUGGG
rnacentral:rRNA from 1 species